rnacentral:sRNA from 1 species
AAAGAUAUAGAAGAAAA